CUUACACCACACACUGACAACAUGCUGGGGACCCUCUGCACUCUCAUCACUGCUCUAACAUAUGUUGAUGCAGCGAUCGUGCUGACCCAGACGCCUGCUGUCCACACAGUUUCUGCAGGACAAGAGGUUGUUCUCAGCUGCAACAUUCAGAGAUAUGACGGCAAUAAUGUGUACUGGUAUAAACAGGUUCCUGGUGGGGUUCCUCAGUAUGUUCUGAGGUUUUACCACGGCAGCAGUUCACCAAGCUUUGGAACAGGAUUCUCUUCAGACCGAUUUCACUCUAAAUCCUCAUCAAACAUAGAUUACCAGUUCAUUAUAAAGCGAGCAGAGGCAGGAGAUUCUGCUCAGUAUUUCUGUAGCACAUGGGAUAGCUCUGCUUCUGAACAUGUAUCACAGUGAUUUACACUGUGACAAAAACCUCCUCAUUAAACACUUCCUCUUUCUGAAUCUCUGACACGUUAGAAUAGAAUGUAAGACCACAUGUGAAUGAAAACAGCAUUGCA